CGUAGGAUGCAAGCGUUGUCCGGAUUUAUUGGGCGUAAAGCGAACGUAGGCGGCUUCUUAAGUUUGGUCUUAAAGACCGGGGCUCAACCCCGGGAGUGGACUGAAUACUGGGAGGCUAGAGGAUGUCAGAGGAAAGUGGAAUUCCUAGUGUAGCGGUGAAAUGCGUAGAUAUUAGGAGGAACACCAGUGGCGAAAGCGACUUUCUGGGACAUUUCUGACGCUGAGGUUCGAAAGCUCGGGGAGCAAACAGGAUU
rnacentral:rRNA from 1 species